rnacentral:rRNA from 1 species
UACGGAGGAUCCGAGCGUUAUCCGGAUUUAUUGGGUUUAAAGGGUGCGCAGGCGGGAGAUUAAGUCGGCGGUGAAAUUUUGCAGCUCAACUGUAAAAGUGCCUUCGAAACUGGUUUCCUUGAGUGUGGAUGAAGUAGGCGGAAUUUGUGGUGUAGCGGUGAAAUGCAUAGAUAUCACGAGGAACUCCGAUUGCGCAGGCAGCUUACUAAGCCAUAACUGACGCUCAGGCACGAAGGCGUGGGGAUCAAACAGGAUUAGAUACCCCGGUA